rnacentral:rRNA from 1 species
UGGUUUGUUAAGUCAGAUGUGAAAGCCCGGGGCUCAACCUCGGAAUUGCAUUUGAAACUGGCAAACUAGAGUACUGUAGAGGGGGUAGAAUUUCAGGUGUAGCGGUGAAAUGCGUAGAGAUCUGAAGGAAUACCGGUGGCGAAGGCGGCCCCCUCGGACAGAUACUGACACUCAGAUGCGAAAGCGUGGGGAGCAAACAGGAUUAGAUACCCUGGUAG